UACGGAGGGUGCGAGCGUUGUCCGGAAUCACUGGGCGUAAAGGGCGCGUAGGCGGCCUGAUAAGUCGGGGGUGAAAUCCUGCGGCUUAACCGCAGGGCUGCCUUCUAGACUGUCAGGCUAGAGCACAGUAGAGGCAGAUGGAAUUCCGGGUGUAGCGGUGGAAUGCGUAGAGAUCCGGAAGAACACCGGUGGCGAAGGCGGUCUGCUGGGCAGUAGCUGACACUGAGGCGCGACAGCGUGGGGAGCAAACAGG
rnacentral:rRNA from 1 species